rnacentral:sRNA from 1 species
GCGGAGGUGUUGACGCGCCUAGUCGGGAU